rnacentral:rRNA from 1 species
UACAGAGGUGGCAAGCGUUGUUCGGAAUUACUGGGCGUAAAGGGCGCGUAGGCGGUCUUUUAAGUUCCGUGUGAAAUCCCUCGGCUCAACUGGGGAACUGCACGGAAAACUGGGAGGCUUGAGUUCGGGAGAGGGAAGCGGAAUUCCGGGUGUAGUGGUGGAAUGCGUAGAGAUCCGGAGGAACACCAGCGGCGAAGGCGGCAUCCUGGACUGGUCCUGACACUCAGGAGCGAAAGCGUGGGGAGCGAUCCGG